GUGGGGAAUUUUGGACAAUGGGCGCAAGCCUGAUCCAGCAAUGCCGCGUGCAGGAAGAAGGCCUUCGGGUUGUAAACUGCUUUUGUACGGAACGAAACGGCUCUGGUUAAUACCCGGGGCUAAUGACGGUACCGUAAGAAUAAGCACCGGCUAACUACGUGCCAGCAGCCGCGGUAAUACGUAGGGUGCAAGCGUUAAUCGGAAUUACUGGGCGUAAAGCGUGCGCAGGCGGUUUUGUAAGACAGGCGUGAAAUCCCCGGGCUCAACCUGGGAACUGCAUUUGUGACUGCAUGACUGGAGUGCGGCAGAGGGGGAUGGAAUUCCGCGUGUAGCAGUGAAAUGCGUAGAUAUGCGGAGGAACACCGAUGGCGAAGGCAAUCCCCUGGGCCUGCACUGACGCUCAUGCACGAAAGCGUGGGGAGCAAACAGGAUUAGAAACCCCAGUAGUCC
rnacentral:rRNA from 1 species